AGCGAACGCUGGCGGCAGGCCUAAUACAUGCAAGUCGAGCGGUCACUUCGGUGGCAGCGGCGGACGGGUGAGUAACGCGUGGGAACGUGCCCUUUGGUUCGGAACAACACAGGGAAACUUGUGCUAAUACCGGAUGUGCCCUUCGGGGGAAAGAUUUAUCGCCAUUGGAGCGGCCCGCGUUGGAUUAGCUAGUUGGUGGGGUAAUGGCCCACCAAGGCGACGAUCCAUAGCUGGUCUGAGAGGAUGAUCAGCCACACUGGGACUGAGACACGGCCCAGACUCCUACGGGAGGCAGCAGUAGGGAAUCUUGCGCAAUGGGCGAAAGCCUGACGCAGCCAUGCCGCGUGAAUGAUGAAGGCCUUAGGGUUGUAAAGCUCUUUCAGUGGGGAAGAUAAUGACUGUACCCACAGAAGAAGCCCCGACUAACUCCGUGCCAGCCGCCGCGGUAA
rnacentral:rRNA from 1 species